GAUCCUGGCUCAGGAUGAACGCUAGCUACAGGCUUAACACAUGCAAGUCGAGGGGCAUCAGUUUGGUUUGCUUGCAAACCAAAGCUGGCGACCGGCGCACGGGUGAGUAACGCGUAUCCAACCUGCCUACCACUUGAGGAUAACCUUGCGAAAGUAAGACUAAUACCCAAUGACAUCCCACGAAGACAUCUGAAUGGGAUUAAAGAUUAUCGUGAUGGAUGGGGAUGCGU
rnacentral:rRNA from 1 species